AGCUUUACUUAUUAAUCACACACAAUCUUUGUCUGACGUCUUCUCAUCGGGACGUGAAAUGAUGGGAGCAUUGGCUGAACUAUACCCCAAUGCAUACUCUACCCACAUUGAUCAUGCUCCUCCUACUCAUCAUUAUAUCAUUAUGAUAUACCGGAAACUGACUCUCCACAACAAACUCCAGUGGAUAGUCAUUAUCAAGGACAUACUUCAUCAGUUACUCCUCAACAACAAC
rnacentral:lncRNA from 1 species